rnacentral:misc_RNA from 1 species
UCCCAAGCCUUCUGGCGAUCUCUUAUAAAGAAAGCCCUCCAUAAUAAAUUGAAAAGGGUCCUUUGGGGAAAAGUUUUCCCUUUGCUAAGAUGAAGCCGGGGAAGGUUUUCCGGUUUAUCCCGGAGGGCUUGUAGCUCAGUUGGUUAGAGCGCGCGCUUGAUAAGCGUGAGGUCGGAGGUUCAAGUCCUCCCAGGCCCACCAAUCAUUCUAUCAAUCUAUAAGCGCUUGUGGAAAUUGCUCAUAGAAAACUUUCUUUAUUCAUUUAUGAAAAAUCUCCUUAUAGAGAGACGCUUUUCCCUUUGGGUUUGAAAAUUCAAAAUUAAAGGUGUUAAAGUGGCUUUAAAGGAAAAGUGACAAAGAAUAAGGAAUAACGAUUUAAGUUAUCCCUUUUUGGUGAUCUUGAUUUGGGUGUUUUGAAUGCGUUAUGUUUUUUAGGGGGGCCGUAGCUCAGCUGGGAGAGCACCUGCUUUGCAAGCAG